rnacentral:tRNA from 1 species
UAGGGUAUGGCGAAAGGGUUAUCGUGUUUGUCUUGGGCAUAAAAGAUUGUAGGUUCGAGUCCUACUACCCUAAC